CCAGACUCCUACGGGAGGCAGCAGUGGGGAAUAUUGCACAAUGGGCGAAAGCCUGAUGCAGCCAUGCCGCGUGUAUGAAGAAGGCCUUCGGGUUGUAAAGUACUUUCAGUCGUGAGGAAGGGUGUGCAGUUAAUAGCUGUAGAUCUUGACGUUAGCGACAGAAGAAGCACCGGCUAACUCCGUGCCAACAGCCGCGGUAAUACGGAGGGUGCGAGCGUUAAUCGGAAUUACUGGGCGUAAAGCGCGUGCAGGUGGUUCAUUAAGUCAGAUGUGAAAGCCCGGGGCUCAACCUCGGAACCGCAUUUGAAACUGGUGAACUAGAGUGCUGUAGAGGGGGGUAGAAUUUCAGGUGUAGCGGUGAAAUGCGUAGAGAUCUGAAGGAAUACCASUGGCGAGGGCGGCCCCCUGGACAGACACUGACACUCAGAUGCGAAAGCGUGGGGAGCAAACAGGAUUAGAUACCCUGGUAGUCCACGCCGUAAACGAUGUCUACUUGGAGGUUGUGGCCUUGAGCCGUGGCUUUCGGAGCUAACGCGUUAAGUAGACCGCCUGGGGAGUACGGUCGCAAGAUUAAAACUCAAAUGAAUUGACGGGGGCCCGCACAAGCGGUGGAGCAUGUGGUUUAAUUCGAUGCAACGCGAAGAACCUUACCUACUCUUGACAUCUACAGAAUUCGCUAGAGAUAGCUUAGUGCCUUCGGGAACUGUAAGACAGGUGCUGCAUGGCUGUCGUCAGCUCGUGUUGUGAAAUGUUGGGUUAAGUCCCGCAACGAGCGCAACCCUUAUCCUUGUUUGCCAGCACGUAAUGGUGGGAACUCCAGGGAGACUGCCGGUGAUAAACCGGAGGAAGGUGGGGACGACGUCAAGUCAUCAUGGCCCUUACGAGUAGGGCUACACACGUGCUACAAUGGCGCAUACAGAGGGCUGCAAGCUAGCGAUAGUGAGCGAAUCCCAAAAAGUGCGUCGUAGUCCGGAUCGGAGUCUGCAACUCGACUCCGUGAAGUCGGAAUCGCUAGUAAUCGUGAAUCAGAAUGUCACGGUGAAUACGUUCCCGGGCCUUGUACACACCGCCCGUCACACCAUGGGAGUGGGCUGCAAAAGAAGUGGGUAGUUUAACCUUUCGGGGAGGACGCUCACCACUUUGUGGUUCAUGACUGGGGUGAAGUGGUAACAAGGUAGCCCUAGGGG
rnacentral:rRNA from 1 species